UACGACGGGUGCAAGCGUUACUCGGAAUUACUGGGCGUAAAGCGUGCGUAGGUGGUUUGUUAAGUCUGUUGUGAAAGCCCCGGGCUCAACCUGGGAACUGCGUUUGAUACGGAUGGGCUAGAGUUCGGGAGAGGAGAGUGGAAUUCCCAGUGUAGAGGUGAAAUUCGUAGAUAUUGGGAAGAACACCGGUGGCGAAGGCGGCUCUCUGGACCGAGACUGACGCUGAGGCGCGAAAGCGUGGGGAGCAAACAGG
rnacentral:rRNA from 1 species